rnacentral:tRNA from 6 species
GCGCGAGUGGCGGAACAGGCAGACGCCCAGGUUUUAGGUACCUGUGUCCGAAAGGACGUGGGGGUUCGAGUCCCCCCUCGCGCACCA